CCAGCACAGUGUACAGCCGGUCCUGUUGGAGAUGGCAUGUCGACUGGCAAGCUGCAAUAAGAGGCAAAAUGACAGUCCCAAUCAGGGUGUAAUAUUUUUCUUGCAAUUCAUUUCCCAACAGACUUCCCCCUCAAACCCCCUAAGGUUGCAUUUACAAGAAUGUAUUUUCCAAAUAGUAACAGUAAUGGCAGCACGUGUCUUGACAUUCUGUGGUCACAGUGGUCUCCAGCACUAUUUCAAAAGUACUCUUUUCCAUUUGUUCCCCAUUGUAUGAUUCCAAUCCACAUGAUCUUCUAGUGAAUGAGGUUGCUGAGAUCUACAGAAAGGAUAGAGAAAAGUAUAGCAGAAUAGCUCAGGGAUGGACUCAAAGUAUGCCAGGUAAUUAAA
rnacentral:lncRNA from 1 species